ACAGUCGAUCGAAUCAUUUCGGCGUUUUGCAGGUUAUAUUUUCGCAGAGGUAUAUCAAAGACGCGAUGCAUGAUCGCCAGAUGGAUUAACGGGAGUGAGGAAUUCAUUCAUUGACCGAUUAUUAUCGACGAAUCAUUCAGCAAUGGAUUAUCAUCGACGUUGGAGUCGCCGAUGGAUUGUUGCUGACGACGGAUUUAUCGGCGGAUGGACUAUUCACCGACAAUGGUGGUUUCAUCGAUGGAUUGUUGAUGAUGAACCUGAUGAUCGAUUUGCCAGUGAUAAUAAUUUCAAUAUAUGCGGUAUGAGAAACUUUUGUGCAACAUUCGUGCUUCGUAAUCGUCAUAUUCGUUCCGCCGUAAUGUAAUAAAACACACGUUGAGAGUCGGGAGUGCCGUGAUAGUUUCGCGCGAAUACGAAACACCGUAUUCUAGCGAAUCAUAAGAUGAACGUAUUUUGCCGAAUGAUAUGAUAAAUAUUGGGACACGAUCGAAUCCCUUUCAAGGGAACUUUCUUCUCGAUUCUUGGGUUCGGCUCGGGAGAGGGAAGGAUCGAUUUGUAUCAUGGGAUCUCGAUUGGAGCCCUUCAGUAUCAGACGUGUCAACAUAUGAUGCAUGCACGGAAAAAAAAGAUAUUCUUAUUUUAAAAAUAUCUUUAUUUUUAACAUGAAAAUCUCGAAAUGAGAUUAUAUUGCUUUAAACGAAGAAAACUGGCUUGAAUGAAGUCAUUUUAUAUAGUUCAACCAAGAAAAA